rnacentral:rRNA from 1 species
UACGUAGGUGGCAAGCGUUGUCCGGAUUUAUUGGGUUUAAAGGGUGCGUAGGCGGCCUUUUAAGUCAGUGGUGAAAGCCGAUCGCUUAACGAUCGAACUGCCAUUGAUACUGAAAGGCUUGAGUACAGUUGAGGUAGGCGGAAUUGACAGUGUAGCGGUGAAAUGCAUAGAUAUUGUCAAGAACACCAAUUGCGUAGGCAGCUUACUAAAGUGUUACUGACGCUGAGGCACGAAAGUGCGGGGAUCAAACAGG